CACGAACGUUGGCGGCGUGCCUAAUACAUGCAAGUCGAGCGCAGGAAAUCGACGGAACCCUUCGGGGGGAAGUCGACGGAAUGAGCGGCGGACGGGUGAGUAACACGUAAAGAACCUGCCCUCAGGUCUGGGAUAACCACGAGAAAUCGGGGCUAAUACCGGAUGGGUCAUCGGACCGCAUGGUCCGAGGAUGAAAGGCGCUCCGGCGUCGCCUGGGGAUGGCUUUGCGGUGCAUUAGCUAGUUGGUGGGGUAAUGGCCCACCAAGGCGACGAUGCAUAGACGACCUGAGAGGGUGAUCGGCCACACUGGGACUGAGACACGGCCCAGACUCCUACGGGAGGCAGCAGUAGGGAAUCUUCCACAAUGGACGAAAGUCUGAUGGAGCAACGCCGCGUGAACGAUGAAGGCCUUCGGGUCGUAAAGUUCUGUUGCAAGGGAAGAACAAGUGCCGCAGGCAAUGGCGGCACCUUGACGGUACCUUGCGAGAAAGCCACGGCUAACUACGUGCCAGCAGCCGCCGCUGUAA
rnacentral:rRNA from 1 species